GUUGGGAGAACAAAGGCCCAAUGCCUGACCUGGGGGACAGGCCCCCAAUCCUGGUCUGCCGUCCCUGGCUUCAGUGGCCCCUUUUGGCAGGUCUCCCACCUGCCUGGUCCCCUCUGCCUUUUGGACUACUCAGCACUGACUGCAUUCAUGAGAGUCUCCCUCGUACAGAGGCAGCACCUCGGAGUCAGACAGACAGGGUCCGCAUCACACUCAAGUCAUUCUGAGCAAGCCACAGCCCUCACCGAGCCCCCAGCUUUCGAGUGUGACCAAUGGGGGCAUUUCCAUCCUCCCGGGGGCCUGUGAUGAUCAAAUGGAGCUUUAAGCUCCAGUUGUGCGGUAGCUUGUUUUACUGUCCACUGGGUGGCCAGGCUGUGCCGCAAGACAGGAUGAACAAGGAAUGAAGACAAGGUUAAAAGGCAGAUAAGUGCGCCCCAGGGAAGAGAAGAGACCAGUGUGUGACUCCAGGUGGCUGGGGACAGACAACACACACGCCCCAAGCUGCAGGGUGCUGCGUCUACUUAGACGGGGAGAGGAGAGAGAGCGCCCAAGAUCCAGCCCCGUGGUCAGUAGAUCCACCCAGCAACUGAGCGGGCAGUGUGGCAGCACAGACCCCCGUCCUGCUGCAGCAGACGGACACCCCCCACCUGCAUGGGGGGGGGUCUGCCUUUCCCAACAGUGCUGGAUAAGUGCCUGCAUGUCCUGGACAAGCCUCAUCAAUCCACACAGUAAGGGGGUGGGGAGACCUGGAAGAGCAGAAGCUGGGACUGAGACCUUUGCCCCACCUGGAAGCCAUCUUUGUGCAUCAUGUCCGCCCUCUCCGUAGGGCCUGGAACCUUCCCCGCUACAUCCUCCCAAGGGACAGAGCAAAGGGAGAUCCGUCCGUCAGGGAGGAAGUGUGGCUGGAUACCUCGAAGGUUCUCGUAAAUCCCUGCAGAGUGAAUGAACAAAGUGGGUCUCAGAUUAGGCCUAAGGGGAAGCCCACUUCAUUGCUGACUUGGUGACAUAGUCAGUGGCCUGUGACCUCUCCCAGCGGGGAGGACACAGGAUCCAGCUCCCACUCAUCUGGGGACACUUAAGUGUCUUUCAGUGUACCCACCUGUAAAGUGGAGCGACCACAUCUCCAGCUCAACCCCACGCCGUGGUUGUGGAAGGUGGUGGGGCCCUACAGCUCAUCCCACAUGCUUGUCUCACAACGUGUAAAAACAGGAUACAAGUGGCAGCUGGAUGCCAGUCCCCACGGCUCUGUCCAUCAUAAAGCCUCAAGAUCUUGAUAUCUGUGUUGUAUGACUUUUAACUUCUCCUUUUUAACUAAGAAUUAGC